GUGAGAAAGCUAGUCUCAAGAGUGAAUGGAGGCUUUCAGCACCACGGACAGAGCAAGAGCAAGAGAUGCCGAGAGCUCGAUAACAACCAGCGCGGAUAUGUUGAAAAUGUCAUCACCAAACUCUGAUCAAGGAACCCGGCAUGUAAAAAAUUUCUUUGGUAUCGACCGAUGCUAUACAUCUUUCUGAACUUCACCGGUGGCCUUUCAGGAACAGACGUGAUCCAACCCUCAACUCAGCCUACAACAAAUACACAAGGUUUGUCAUCGUCGACAGCAGCAGCAGCAGAAAGCAGAAAGCCAGUCCGGUGUCCUACCUGUGGAGCAGAACAGGUGACAGUGUGUCCGAAGUUGGAACUAGCCGCCGGUCACCAUCUUCUGCACGGUCAGAGAAGAGAAAGUGCGC